rnacentral:rRNA from 1 species
UACGAAGGGGGGCUAGCGUUGCUCGGAAUCACUGGGCGUAAAGCGCACGUAGGCGGACUCUUAAGUCGGUGGUGAAAAUCCUGGAGCCUCAACUCCAGAACUGCCUCGAUACUGAGAGUCUCGAGUCCGAGAGAGGUGAGUGGAACUGCGAGUGUAGAGGUGAAAUUCGUAGAUAUCGCGAAGAACACCAGGUGGCGAAGGCGGACUC